rnacentral:rRNA from 1 species
UACGUAGGGUGCAAGCGUUAAUCGGAAUUACUGGGCGUAAAGCGUGCGCAGGCGGUUGUGUAAGACAGGUGUGAAAUCCCCGGGCUUAACCUGGGAAUGGCAUUUGUGACUGCACGGCUAGAGUGUGUCAGAGGGGGGUAGAAUUCCACGUGUAGCAGUGAAAUGCGUAGAUAUGUGGAGGAAUACCGAUGGCGAAGGCAGCCCCCUGGGAUAACACUGACGCUCAUGCACGAAAGCGUGGGGAGCAAACAGG